CCGAGUUGCAAAACUCCAACCCCUGUGAACCUACUCUUCGUUUCCUCGGCAGGUGGCCCCCGGGGGGGGCUCCGCCGCUAGGCACCUGCCAGAGGACCGCCCAACUCUGCUAUCACUGUCCUCUGAGCCACUGUACACAGUCA
rnacentral:misc_RNA from 1 species